GUAUUUCAUUGCGUUAAACGCGACAUACAUUCCAUUAGACUUUAUUACAGUGUGUGUGUAAAGAAGUAGAACCACAGAAGGAAGACAGGGUCCCCCAGACCAUAGAACUACAGAGGGUGCACAGGUGUGAGUGGAUGUGUAAACAGAGCGUGCACAUGCCCCCUAUGAGGGCCAGCAACAACCCGUUUGACAAUUCAGUAAUGAUCCUUCCGCAGGUUCACCUACGGAAA
rnacentral:misc_RNA from 1 species